UGAGGAACAUGAACGUUUCGGCGGGGGAUAGCCGGCCCAACGGACCGGGUAAUACCGCGUACGACCACUCUGGGACAUCCCUAGGUGGUGAAAGCAGCAAUGCGCCGAUGGAGUGCCUCGCGGCCUAUCAGCUAGUUGGUGAGGUAACGGCUCACCUAGGCAACGGACGGGUAGCUGGUCUGAGAGGAUGACCGGCCACAUUGGGACUGAGACACGGCCAGACUCCGUACGGGAGCAG
rnacentral:rRNA from 1 species